GUACUUAAACUGAGUUAUUAAAUGCAGAUCUUAUUGAAAGCUUCUUCAGCUCCUUAAAAAGAAUGGAGUUUUAAAGUUAUGGGGUGAGGCUGGAGAAACAGCCACACCAGAAGAGGGUCCCAUUACAGAUGGUUGUGAGCCACCAUGUGGUUGCUGGGUAUUGAACUCAGGAACUCUGGAAGAGCAGUCUGUGCUCUUAACCGCUGAGCCAUCUUGCCAGCCCUAUUUUUAUUGUUUUAAAUCAUAUGUAUAUAUGCGUGCUUCUGCUGGGCAUAUGCACAUGAAUGCAGGUGCCUACACAAGCCAGUGGCAUCAGAUCUCCCUGGAGCUGGAGUUACAGUUGGUUAUGAGCCUCCUGAUAUGGGGGCUGGGAAUCCAAUUUGUGUCCUUUGGAAGAGCAGUCUGCACACUUAACUGCUUAGCUCAGAGAAAAGCCAGCUCUAAAGUACAAACCUACCUGCUCUUCUGUUUGCAGCUUAGAACUUGGAAUGUAUUUUCAAAAGAAUGGUUGCUGGAGCUGUCAGGUUCCCAUACUGGUCCAACAGGUCUACUUACUCUAAGAACAUUCCUGAACUAGUCUGAGGUCUAGAUUCUCAUGAAAACUGUGUGAUAUACAAACUACUCUACCCACUUGUGGAGUCUGUCACACCUAAGGAAUCUGCCAAUCACUAAAUGUAUAGCCAAGCAAAAUUUAUUUAACUUUCCUGUGUCUAAAUUUUCUUACUUAUAUGAGGGCACUCCCUAUGACAGCCAGCAUAUAAGGAUUAAAUACAAAGUAGAAAGAUUACAGCACAAUAGAAACUCAAUAAACAGACUCAAUUAAGACUGGUUCUCCAUAUCUGUGUGAUUCGACAAUCAUGUAUUAAACCUACUGCUGACCCAAUGUGCUGCGCAGAUUUUAUUGUCACUCUUCCCUAAAAACUAUUGUGUGUGAAAACUUAAGAAUUUAGGGUCAGCAUCUAUAGCACAGAGGGCAGGAAUAGUGAGCAGUUGGGUAGAUGGAUUCAGCACUAAGGAACAAAGAUGGGCUUCUCUCUCAGACUUCUGUAUAGCUGGGUUAUUGCUGGAGGGUCUGUCUAUUUUAGGGAGGGGUUUUCUGCUCAGUCAGUAGGAUUUUCUUUUCAAAGUACAUCAUUGAAAGGAUAAUAGGGAAAAUAACAAUGCACUUUGAUAAAGAAAUAGUUGACUUGAUAAUUUUAACAGUAUACGUAUAUAGUGGACUUUGGGGUUGCUUUUUAGUGGUACUACUCUGUUGACCCAAAUAAGUUUACCCUUGGCUCUGUUGAUUUUUCUCCACUUAUAAAAAAUUUUAGAAUUAAUUGCAAGUGUAUCCAUGUUCAUAACAAGAAUCUGAAAGCAAAUAGAACAUCUUAAGAAAGGUAAUGUUUUUGUCGCUAAGUGAUGUGAUGGCCUGGUGUGAUGACUGUUGCCUGUAAUCCUGUGGUAGGAGGAUCACUAGGAGUUCAUGGCAGCCUGUUGAGGUACAGAGUGAUCCAAGUUAGCCUAGUCUAGAAUGAGACUCUGGCUCAAACAAAUGACAGAAGAAUUAGCUGUAAAACUAAGUUCCUUCUUUUCCCCACUUUAUCUCUCCCUUCUUCCUCUCUCUCUCUCUCUCUCUCUCUCUCUCUCUCUCUCUCUCCUCUCCCUCCCUCCCUCCCUCCCUUCCUUCCUCCCUCUCUCCCUUUCUUCCCUUUUAUUGUAGCCCAGGCUGAUUUCUAACUGGUAGGUAGUUGAGAUUGACCUAGAAUUCCUUUACUGCCCCUAUCUUCCAUAUUCUGUGCUAUGCAGCUGUGUGUGAUUCUUCACAACUGUGUUAUCCUACUUGUUCCUAUUCCUGCCCCAAACUACCACUAGUUCAUCUUGGGUGUGUGUAUUUGUGUUGGGAGGGAGAGAUAGAAAGAGAUGGAUAGAUGGAUUCAUGCAGAUGCCACAGUGCCCAUUUGGAAGUCACACAGCCUUUGACGGUUUGUCCAUUCCUUUUACUGUGGUCUGAUGAUUAUUCUGGGUUUCAGGUUAUUAGGCUUUCACUGUCCAGCAGUUUCUCUGCUGAACUAUAUUUCAGCCUCCCUUCAUCCCCAUUAAUUCUUCUUAAGUGGCUUAAAUAAUUCCUUUUGUUUUAUUUAUUAUGUUUUUGAGACAAUCUCACUGUGUAGCUCAGGCUGACCUGAAACUCAUGGGUGGCAAUGUCUUCCCUUUAUCUCCCGAGUGUUGGGACUGUAGUGUGAAACACCUCACCUGUGGGUUUUUUUUUUUUUUAAUGGACUAUAAUGCUCCAGUAUGAGGAGAGGCAGCACUGGAGAAUGUCUCCCAGCUGACUCACUAAGUGAGUCACUUUAAAAAAGCAAUCUGUUGGAAUUCUGGCCUGCUCAACAAGAGGGAAAGCAUGUUUAGUACUGGAAACCUAGCCAACUACCCAGAACUAGUGAAGUCAUGGAUCUUGGAAGAGAACCUACAAUCAACCGCCACUUCUAAACCAGCAUAAUCCUUAACUACAUUUAAAAUUUUUUUUUCAUACAGAAUACUUUGAUCUGAUUAUUUGCCUUCUUCCAACUCCUCCCAGGUUUUUCUUAACUCCUGACCAAUGUGUACAUGAGAGCCCAAGCAAACUUCCCGAAAGCAGCAACCCUC
rnacentral:lncRNA from 1 species